AUUUAUUUCAGCCCAUUGACUUUGUACACAUUUUUGAGACAUCAUUAUGGUUACUCGAUCGUCAUCAAAGUCAUACCAAGGAAGAAACUUGAAACAAAGAUAAUACUAAAAUAAUGAUGUCAAGAUGACGUCAUCAAGUGAUUUAUUAUUGAUUUUUCAAUAUUUAUUUCAGCCCCAUUGACUUUGUACACAUUUUGAAACCAAUUACCUUUGUAAAUACAUACAAGUGUUGCCUAAGCGUUUGCAUGCGCAUGUCUGUUGCGCUAACAGCUGAUCUGCGCGAUCGGUCGAUGUAAGCAUUGUCGCGCAGUCUUAAUGCAUGGUUUGGAUGGAAAGUUGUGAAGAAAUCCUGCAAAAUAUUGAUAAAAAUGAAAUCUGAGAUUUCGUGUCAUCAGGCCUCAACCGAUUGUUUAAAGUAGUACUCAACACCAAUCGUUCAUGCAUGUAUCAACUAUUUCCGCGGUACUACACGUCAACACAUGGAUUCGAUCGGGACGAUGUUUUCGACGAGCGCAUGUGUUUUCUUAGGACCUCUUCAUGCUCUUGGGACCUCCCGGACCAGAAAUUGCACCAGCUGAGUUCUUAAUGGACUUUGCUUGAUCAGAGGAUUCCAAAGUAAUCCCACGAAAGCUGAACUGGAACCAAAUUCAUGAAACGCGGUGCUAGAAAUUGCACAAGGAGUUGACACCGAUUGGGCAUGAUAACUCGUGGGCAUGGGUUCAUCUAGCCCAUGCCAUGCAUGCCGAGCCUAACAAGCAGACAUACGUGCGGCGCUGCAGCGAGCUGGGUUUGGAAGCUGGCCUUGGACGAAGUGCUGGAACCGGUAGGCAAAACAUUCUUAAUUGCAAGUUUUUGGCUGCACUUUCUGUGCUCUGUAGCUCUGGACAGUGAUGUUAAGGGAAAGAGAAUUGACCCAAAUUAGCUCUGAAUUUGCACUGACAUAACUUGAACUCUAAAAAGGGCCUGUUUUAACAUUUCGAUAUGAUCACCCCAAUCAUGGCAAGGUGAUUAACAGUGAUUGUGUACGUCAUAUGUGUUCAGCACAAUCCAGACAUCAACUUCCACAUAUUCAUUAACCCCCUCCCAAGUACAUUAUUCAACCAUUUUAGUAAGAUGUAUUUUAUUCAAAAGCAAAUCUAAUCCGGAUGGAGCACAAUACAUACUUGUACAUUUUCAGACAUUUCACAGGGGUGCUGAACAUAGGCAUGGAACUGACUAAAGUCCCUCAAAACACUGACGGUGCAUUCUGUAUUUCAUUUCUAUGCCCCCCUCCCCCGAAGACAAACCCAUGUCAUUACGGGUUCAUGGUAAAUAUCCAAACAUGUAUGAAAUUUGGAUGUAGACCUGUAAUUCUUUUUGCAAGCUGUUUAUAUAGAAAAAUUGAAUUUCCUUAUUUGCUUUGUGUGUAUAGGUAUCCUUCAUACUACUUCUGGAAUGAAAGCUGGAGAAUGGAGAUAAAUCUGUUCUCCGUGUUAUUUCUGAACAUUGGAAUUCAACAUAACUGCAGUUACAUGUAGAUAUCAGAGGCACAAGUACCAAAAAUAAAGGAAGCUGCAUGCAAUAAAGCGUGGAAAUUAACAGGUGAUGGUGAAAAGGCCCACUGUUGCUUUGACAUAAAGACAGAUUGCCAGUCAUGAAUCAGUUUGUGGGGGGGGGAACAUCCAUGUACCAUCAUGCCCGGUCCCCCACUUUAACAUUUGGGUCCCCACAUACUCCCCAGAACCCAAGGUUACUAUACCAAUGAAUGCAUACAUGUGCACAUGUACGUCGUAUUAUUUUUAAGUUCUCACACAAGUUUUCCCAUGCAUCAACAAAAGAAACAGAAACUGCUGCGCCUGUAAUAUUUAAAUGUUUCCUUUUGCAAUGAUACAGAUGUUCAUCAGCACAGUCAUGAGGGUGGUCUUCACACAAGUCCCUGGUAUCGUUGAUAUGAAGUGCAGUUGAAGCAGGAUGGAUCCUGAGAAGGGUGGGAACAGCUUCUUUAAAAUACCCGUAGCUAGACUGCAACCAACAGGAACUGAAUAUUUCAAGACAUCCUUUAUGCUGCUGCUGAAGUGAAAGCUACAGAUGAUAGUUCUGCAUGUUUGGAAUUCAACAUCACUGCAGUUACAUGUAGAUCAGAUGCAUGGCUACCCUUGAUAAAGGAAGGUGCUGUACAGCAAAGCAAGGAAAUUAUAAGCUGUAUUUGAGAAGAUGGCCAUCGAGUGCUACCGAUGUAAGGUGACCUUCACAACCAAACAAGGGUUAUGGCCUCACCUUCGACUAGUCCAUGGGCCGCCCUUGUACCUGUGUUGUAAGCGGUGUAGCUACAGGGACAAAAGGAGGGACAACCUCAGACGACACUAUCGUUCUUGCCAUCCAGAUUAUCUUGAUGAGUGCAGCAGUGUCCAAAUGACAGAGGAUCGACAAGACGGGGGUAUUACGAUGCCCUGUUCCAGUAGUCCAAGGUCGUCGGUGGGAAGAAUGGUCAACGAGGGGGUGGUAGGUUCGGCUGCACCGACUGAGAGGGUGGCUCCCCGAGAUGGGGUUGAUGAGGAUGCUCUAGGUAUAGGUGAGACCUCAUCAGCUGGGAAGGGCCCAGCUGAAGAUGAAAAGGCCUCUCACUCCACGGUGAGCAACCUGU